UCGAGGAGAAGUUUGCGAAAUACCGCUGAAAAUCCAGGUUAAGACUGUUGACGGUGUUCCAGCCAACAAGACGGGACAGAUAUUCCACCUCUACUCCAACACCCAAGGGUUCAUUUGUCGGAAUGACCAGCAGGGUUCUGGCAAGUGUUUGGACUACAAAGUUCGCUUCCAAUGCCAGUGUAACUCCAAGGAACAGGUCUACUGCUGUAAUUGAUGAGACAAACAGAAUAAAAGUUGUGGGUUUUGCCAGCA